CUUGAUCAGCAACUGACUAGGACCACUAGGUGAACAUUUUCGUCUAUUGUGCAGUGCGAGUAGUGUUCAGAAAAUGCAGCGCACGUGAGAUGUUAAAAAACUGGAGACAAGCGUUUGAUUAUGAUCAAGCGGCUGUGAAUCGAUUACCGGCUGAAGCCUUAGCCAGGAAACCGAUCGUAUGGCAGGGUGACGUGAAGCGUGCGAGUUGGAGGGAUGAAUAUUGAAAGGGAGACGCAGGAGAUUGUUCGAUAAAAAUGAUGAAGCUUCUCCAUUGAUUCUGAUCACUUUCUUGUCUUCUGAUUCUGCAGCAUUGAAAAAGCGGUGGAGCUGGACUACCAUUGGGCGGAGUUCGCUGAUCCGGUACCACGUUCAGGUGACGAUGAAAAACCCACACAUUGUGCUGCUUUCGGCUUCGCUGCCGGCCCAACCUCCGGAAACUGUGUUCUUGAGUGGGCUUCCUGCUGGGGCUAUAGAGGCUAUAAAGGCUGCGUAUCGAUCAGUAUUGCAGAUUCUUGACCCUUAAUCUUACAUUGAAGCUCAAUCUCUCUAAACUUCCUACAGAUGAGGGUUCAACGAGUUCCUUUUCUAACGUCAGUCAUUAUAAGAGUACAAACAUGCUCUUUUGGUAAAGAUUGCAUCUGUAAGGGAAGUGGUGCUAGGAGCUCCAUUGAGAGUAAUUCUGAAGCAGCCUGCUUUGAGGACUUUUGCUUCCGAUGUUGAUCCACUUGUUGCUCUUGUGCAUCGGCCAAAGGAAUCCUUUUUCCUUAUUCCUCAGCUUCUGUGGAAAGUUAACAAGCUCAUUAAUCUUUUUCGCCUGGGCAGGAGGAACUAAAUCUGUUGAACACCUCCAACCUGCUUCCCGAUGCUGCAAAGAGUAUGUUAGUUUUUCAAUUACCUUUUGAAGGCACCUAGUUUUAUAGUAAAAGGAACUACAACUGAAUAUCUUUCAAAUUUGUUUGUUCUAGCCAUGUAAGAAAAAUGAGGUGAUUAUCUUUAUAUAAUGUUAGUCAUCUUCUAGUAGAUUGAAUAUGAAUAUGUUGCAGGAUUGCUGAUUUUGUGACUGCGAAUCCAGAUCCAUUAAUACCAACAUAAGAAUAUCACCAAAUUUUUGUAAAGUUUAGUUUGCAUUAUGUGCAUUGGGAUCAUUAUUUUGUAUUUAUCUGUCAAGCCGAAAUUGAAAGAAACGACGAUCCUGUCGCUUUUGGAAAUGGCUCUGUGGAAUGCCCUGUUUUAGCUUGUCAUUGAUUUGCUGUUGCUGCUGUUGUGAUGGGUGCUCUCUUACCUAGAAAUGCCGCGCUGCUCCUGCUGCGGUUCAUUCAACAGUUCAGGCUGUGGUUCAUGCAGCAGUAAAUGCUGUGGUUCAUGCAAGGGUUCAUGCUGCAGUCCAUGUAACCGUAAUUCGUGUUUCAGUUGCCCUUCACUACCAAAGUGGCCAUGUUGCUGCACAUGUCCCCAAUCCUGUUACUGCAAAACUAGUUCAUGUUCAUGCAGCAGAAAUUGCUGGAUUUUACCAUCAUGUUCGUGUUCAUGUCCCGAUUGCUCUUGUUUGAAUUGUUUCAAAUGGAAAUGCUCGUCCUAAAUGUCCUUGUUCAAUGUCCUUGUUGCUGUUGUAAAAUAACCUGCUGUAACCCUUGCAGUACAUGUUUGUAGUAUUCAUGACAUCUCUUAUGGAAGCUCUGUAUCAUGACAUCUCUUAUGGAAGCUCUGUAUCAUGGCUUUUUCAUAUUUAACUAUUCUAGAUAUGCUGCAAAUAUUCAGGUAUUCAUAAAAUUGAGUUUAUGAAAUAAAUUUUAUAGUAUUAGCCUCUUCA